UACAGAGGGGGCAAGCGUUGUUCGGAAUUAUUGGGCGUAAAGAGCUCGUAGGCGGUCUGUCGCGUCGGUCGUGAAAACUUGGGGCUUAACCCUGAGCUUGCGGUCGAUACGGGCAUGACUGGAGUUCGGCAGGGGAGACUGGAAUUCCUGGUGUAGCGGUGAAAUGCGCAGAUAUCAGGAGGAACACCGGUGGCGAAGGCGGGUCUCUGGGCCGAAACUGACGCUGAGGAGCGAAAGCGUGGGGAGCAAACAGG
rnacentral:rRNA from 1 species